rnacentral:rRNA from 1 species
CUGGAGGUAUCAGAAGUGCGAAUGCUGACAUAAGUAACGAUAAAGCGGGUGAAAAGCCCGCUCGCCGGAAGACCAAGGGUUCCUGUCCAACGUUAAUCGGGGCAGGGUGAGUCGACCCCUAAGGCGAGGCCGAAAGGCGUAGUCGAUGGGAAACGGGUUAAUAUUCCCGUACUUGGUGUUACUGCGAAGGGGGGACGGAGAAGGCUAUGUUGGCCGGGCGACGGUUGUCCCGGUUUAAGCGUGUAGGUGUGUGUUCCAGGUAAAUCCGGUUCACUUUAACACUGAGGCGUGAUGACGAGGCACUACGGUGCUGAAGCAACAAAUGCCCUGCUUCCAGGAAAAGCCUCUAAGCAUCAGGUAACAUCAAAUCGUACCCCAAACCGACACAGGUGGUCAGGUAGAGAAUACCAAGGCGCUUGAGAGAACUCGGGUGAAGGAACUAGGCAAAAUGGUGCCGUAACUUCGGGAGAAGGCACGCUGACACGUAGGUGAAGUGAUUUACUCAUGGAGCUGAAGUCAGUCGAAGAUACCAGCUGGCUGCAACUGUUUAUUAAAAACACAGCACUGUGCAAACACGAAAGUGGACGUAUACGGUGUGACGCC